AGUGGAUGGGGAGCAACCUAGUUGUGCGUGUGUAAAGGUAGUGCCAAGAAAAGCGAUGAUCAUGUUGAAAAUCAAUUCCCGGUACCCAAAACCGACACAGGUGGGCAAGUAGAGAAUACUAAGGGGCGCGAGGUAACUCUCUCCAAGGAACUCGGCAAAAUGACCCCGUAACUUAGGGAGAAGGGGUGCCACCGAGAGGUGGUCGCAGUGAAGAGGCCCAGGCGACUGUUUAGCAAAAACAUAGGUCUCUGCAAACUCGAAAGAGGAGGUAUAGGGGCUGACGCCUGCCCAGUGCCGGAAGGUUAAAGAAGUUGGUCAGUUUUAGGAUGAAGCUAGCGACUGAAGCCCCGGUGAACGGCGGCCGUAACUAUAACGGUCCUAAGGUAGCGAAAUUCCUUGUCGGGUAAGUUCCGACCCGCACGAAAGGCGUAACGAUCUGGGCGCUGUCUCGGAGAGAGGCUCGGCGAAAUAGGAUUGUCUGUGAAGAUACGGACUACCUGCAUUUGGACAGAAAGACCCUAUGAAGCUUUACUAUAGCUUGGAAUUGUGUUCGGGCUUCCUGUGCGCAGGAUAGGUGGGAGGCGUAGAAGGUAUUCUUGUGGGGAUACUGGAGCCAACGGUGAGAUACCACUCUCAGGAGGCUAGAAUUCUAACUUAAUUAAGGACAGUUUCAGGUGGGUAGUUUGACUGGGGCGGUCGCCUCCAAAAAGGUAACGGAGGCGUACAAAGGUUCCCUCAGACUGGUUGGAAAUCAGUCGAAGAGUGCAAAGGCAGAAGGGAGCUUGACUGCGAGAAGUACAGUUCGAGCAGGGUGGAAACACGGUCUUAGUGAUCCGACGGUGCUGUGUGGAAGGGCCGUCGCUCAACGGAUAAAAGUUACUCUAGGAUAACAGGCUGAUCUCCCCCAAGAGUUCACAUCGACGGGGAGGUUUGGCACCUCGAUGUCGGCUCAUCGCAACCUGGGGCGGAAGUACGUCCCAAGGGUUGGGCUGUUCGCCCAUUAAAGCGGUACGUGAGCUGGGUUCAGAACGUCGUGAGACAGUUCGGUCCAUAUCCGAUGUAGGCGUGAGAAUAUUGAGAGGAGCCUUCCUUAGUACGAGAGGACCGGGAAGGACGCACCGCUGGUGUACCUGUUAUGAUGCCAAUUGUAAACGCAGGGUAGCCAAGUGCGGAGAGGAUAACCGCUGAAAGCAUCUAAGUGGGAAGCCCACCUCAAGAUGAGUAUUCUGGUGUAAGGUCACGGGAAGACGACCCGUAAAUAGGCACGAGGUGGAAGUGCAGAGAUGUAUGAAGCCGAAGUGUACUAAUAGACCGUCGGCUU
rnacentral:rRNA from 1 species